CUGACGCCAUUCUUUCAUCUUCUUCGUUUUCUCUCUAUCAAAGACUGUGAAUCUCCGAAUCUCUCUAACCCUAAAUCUUUCGAUCUCAUUUCAUCUCCUUCUUCUUCUCUCUUCUCUCGAUACUCUUUCGUCUUCUUCUUCUUCCCUCGUCACUCAUUUCUAUUGAUCCAAAGAUCGUCCUCUCUCUUCUUCUCCGUGAAAUCCACCGUGAAAUCGAAGAAUCCGCCGUGAGAACUCCGGUGUGUCAUCUCUUGGAACUAAGGAGAAUGACUACUACUAGAGGAGGAUGAUCUAGUUCUAGAAGGGAAAGAUUAUCUUCUCCUAGAGAUCCAAAAGACUAAAGCAAUCUGCUCCAAACCAAUCAGAGCAAAGAAGGAGGAAGAGAAGGAAAAGGCGUGUGAAUUGGAGCUAUAGAAGAUGAGGGAAUUGGAGCAAGAGAAGGCAAGGGAAUUGAGCAAGUGAAGGCGAGACAUGAAAAGAUUGUGAAGAAGUAUUGGUGGUUGAGUUAUUAGAUUCAAUUGUUUUCUGAUUUUGAUGUAUGUAUUUAGGCGAGGCAACAUGUUUCUGAUUUUGAUGUAUAAAUCUAAGUGUUUAGGUA